UUGGCAGUACGCUGUGCCUUUCCUUUGAAGAUGGCGGAUUGCAGUCCGUACAGGGACGUCAGUUGCAGGAGAAUCUACUCUGUUAUAUGUAGCUCAGUGCUUAUUUAGUCAAGGCUGACCUAGAGAGUGGAGUGGAGUUUGCUGCGGCUGCGAACAAGACUCGGGCCACAGUGUUUACCUUGUGCCAGGUGAAGGAGGACGUACCCCUUUCGAUCGUGUCUGGAACCUCGAUCGCUUUAAAGGCUGCUGCUGCUGUGUUCGUGAUAAAUUGCAGAUGUGAGGCUGCAGUACGCCCUUCUUCGUGGCACAAAGUUAUUUUUCCUGUACAAAUAUUCAUGCAUGAAAGGGUACCAGCAUGCAGACUGGUAGGAGAGUAGCAGAGACUAAUAUGCAGUGGAACUACAGUUGAACUGUGUAUGCGUGUGCAGAAGAAACUUUUUGUGUCAAUGGUAUUGCUCUUCCAUAUUCC